AGUUCUUUUAAACUGUAAUAAUUUUUCAAAAUACUAUUAUUCCUGUCUUUACUCUACAUUUUACGAAAUAACCCUGUUGAAAAAAAUAAAAAUAAAAUAAAACAGCUAAAACCAGCCUAAGCUGGUUGGCUGGUCUUAGCUGGUUUAAACUGAAGUAGCUGGUUUUAACUGGUCUCCCAGCCUGACCAGCUAAAGAAGUGGUCAAAAUCCCUCUAAAAAUUGCCUGCUGACCAGCUAUGACCAGGCUAGAUGACCAGCUAAAACCAGCUAACCAUCUUAGGGCGGCUUUAGCAGUUUUUUUUUUUUUUUUUUUUGCAGGGAAAUGCAACCUUAAUGAGCAUAAGACUUAAAUAAAUAAAUAAAUAUAUAAAUAAAUAAAUAAAAACAUAUAAAUUACUCAAAACUUUUGACCUAUAGUAUAUAAUCAGCUGAUAAUACUAUGGGACUUUUAUAUACACCAAAUUAAUUCAUGAACGAUAAUAUUUACAUGGUAGCCUACGCCUAGGUAAAUGCCCCAAAACUUCUUACCGCCAUGUUAACGUACGGUUAAAGUGCUUUUCUAUAGCGCUAGUGUUUUGUUAUUCUCUGCUGGACGGGUUGUUAUUCUCUGCGGAUGGGUUGACAUGCUGCACGCACAGGUGUUUGUGUAAACGUUCUUCAUCGGUGACAAACGGAUGUAGUUUGGUUGUAGGUGAGUGCUGCGGAUGAACAGGUGAGGAGUGUGCCUUCGAGGCUCAGAGACCUGGCUGACGGCCUAAUGCUGGGAGGCACGAGGAAGAAAUGGACAGCAGAGAGGGCGUUGGUGAAGUGUUAUGAAGAGCACACCCAUUGUCUCAUUCCAUAUAAGUUAAUAAGUCCCUUUCCAUCCUCUGAAAUGGCAGUGAAGCACUGAAAGAAACAGCUCAAGUGGAACAGCAUGGACCCGAGGUAAAUG
ensembl:lncRNA